ensembl:lncRNA
GUGGUUCAGAAGAAGGGUGAGCAAAGACAAAAACGAGACGGGAGGUGGUUCAGAAGAAGGGUGAGCAAAGACAAAAACGAGACGGGAGGUGGUUCAGAAGAAGGGUGAGCAAAGAGAAAAACAAGACGGGAGGUCUGGUGAGCAGUAGCUAAGUUAGAAUUUUUUGGGGGUGUAAAUUUUUUUUUUUAAAUGUCCAGAACGUGAUCUGGAUCAGUAGCUUUGAGAAAGAAUAUCCAUACUUGGUCGGGCGGGGUCGAAAACUCUGUAUUCACAGCCACAGCCAAAAAUGAAAGUGUCCUCCCUAGACAGACAGAGCGAGAUGGAGACAGACAGAGCGAGAUGAGCCCUGCAGAGCUCCUGAGGGGGAACUGUGCAUCAUACAUUAAAAAGACCCCAUACAUAUUUAAUGACACCUUGAGCGCAUCAACACUGAAGCCCCC